rnacentral:rRNA from 1 species
CCCGCCGGCGACCGGCGCACGGGUGAGUAACACGUAUGCAACCUGGCCGCCACAGGGGGAUAACCCGCGGAAACGCGGCCUAAUACCCCAUGACGCCACCGGAGGGCAUCCUCCGGUGGCCAAAGGAGCGAUCCGGUGGCGGAUGGGCAUGCGGCGCAUUAGCUAGACGGCGGGGUGACGGCCCACCGUGGCGACGAUGCGUAGGGGUUCUGAGAGGAAGGCCCCCCACACUGGGACUGAGACACGGCCCAGACUCCUACGGAAGGCAGCAG